rnacentral:rRNA from 1 species
CCUACGGGUGGCAGCAGUGAGGAAUAUUGGUCAAUGGGCGAGAGCCUGAACCAGCCAAGUCGCGUGAAGGAUGACGGACCUAUGGUUUGUAAACUUCUUUUGUAGGGGAAUAAAGUGACGAACGUGUUCCUUUUUGUAUGUACCAUGUGAAUAAGCAUCGGCUAACUCCGUGCCAGCAGCCGCGGUAAUACGGAGGAUGCGAGCGUUAUCCGGAUUUAUUGGGUUUAAAGGGUGCGUAGGUGGUUAAUUAAGUCAGCGGUGAAAGUUUGUGGCUCAACCAUAGAAGUGCCGUUGAAACUGGUUGACUUGAGUAUACUUGAGGUAGGCGGAAUGCGUGGUGUAGCGGUGAAAUGCAUAGAUAUCACGCAGAACUCCGAUUGCGAAGGCAGCUUACUAACCUAUAACUGACACUGAAGCACGAAGGCGUGGGGAUCGAACAGGAUUAGAUACCCGUGUAGUC